GGUAAUGCCGGAUGCUCCAGUUGACCGCAUGGUCCUCUGGGAAAGCUUUUGCGGUAUGGGAUGGGGUCGCGUCCUAUCAGCUUGAUGGCGGGGUAACGGCCCACCAUGGCUUCGACGGGUAGCCGGCCUGAGAGGGCGACCGGCCACAUUGGGACUGAGAUACGGCCCAGACUCCUACGGGAGGCAGCAGUGGGGAAUAUUGCACAAUGGGCGCAAGCCUGAUGCAGCGACGCCGCGUGCGGGAUGACGGCCUUCGGGUUGUAAACCGCUUUUGACUGGGAGCAAGCCCUUCGGGGUGAGUGUACCUUUCGAAUAAGCACCGGCUAACUACGUGCCAGCAGCCGCGGUAAUACGUAGGGUGCAAGCGUUAUCCGGAAUUAUUGGGCGUAAAGGGCUCGUAGGCGGUUCGUCGCGUCCGGUGUGAAAGUCCAUCGCUUAACGGUGGAUCCGCGCCGGGUACGGGCGGGCUUGAGUGCGGUAGGGGAGACUGGAAUUCCCGGUGUAACGGUGGAAUGUGUAGAUAUCGAAAA
rnacentral:rRNA from 1 species